rnacentral:lncRNA from 1 species
UGAAUGAAUUAUUCCACAAAGCCAACAUUUGAAGAUUAGGAAGCUCACCAAUUCCUUGUGGGAUUUCACCUGUUAAAUUAUUGUUCAUCAAAUUUAAAAGAGUCAGCUCCUUAAAUCCUGAAAACCCUUCUGGAAUUGUUCCUGUGAGAUAAUUGUCGGAUAAAUCCAACGAUGUUCAUCAAAUUUAAAAGACUCAGCUCCUUAAAUCCUGAAAUCCCUUCUGGAAUUGUUCCUGUGAGAUAAUUGUCGGAUAAAUCCAACGAUUUCAACAAUUUCAGGUUGGCGAAAGACAGUGGGAUUAUACCAA